rnacentral:rRNA from 1 species
CAUGCAAGUCGAGCGAGAAGCUAACUUCGGUUAGUGGACAGCGGCGCACGGGUGAGUAACGCGUGGGAAUUUACCUUUCGGCGGGGGACAACAGUUGGAAACGACUGCUAAUACCGCAUACGCCCUACGGGGGAAAGAUUUAUCACCGAAAGAUAGGCCCGCGUUAGAUUAAGUAGUUGGUAGGGUCAAAGCCUACCAAGCCGACGAUCUAUAGCUGGUUUGAGAGAACGAUCAGCCACACUGGAACUGAGACACGGUCCAGACUCCUACGGGAGGCAGCAGUGGGGAAUCUUGCACAAUGGGCGAAAGCCUGAUGCAGCCAUGCCGCGUGAGUGCUAAGGCCUUCGGGUUGUAAAACUCUUUUAGAUGUGAAGAUGAUGACGGUAACAUCAGAAAGAGCACCGGCUAACUUCGUGCCAGCAGCCGCGGUAAUACGAAGGGUGCUAGCGUUGUUCGGAAUUACUGGGCGUAAAGAGCGUGUAGGCGGCUUAGCAAGUUAGAGGUGAAAUCCCAGGGCUCAACCCUGGAACUGCCUUUGAUACUGCUAAGCUUGAGAUCGUGAGGGGAUAGCGGAAUACCCAGUGUAGAGGUGAAAUUCGU